rnacentral:tRNA from 1 species
UGGGGUGUAGUUUAACGGUGAGAAUACCGUCCUUGCAAGAUGGAGAUAGAGGGUUCGAACCCCUUUCGCCUUAU